UAUAACUUGUGCAUGUCAAGGCUGGGUCUACACAGGGGGGUUGGUUUGGAAAUUAAUUCCACUGUGGCCAACACCACUGCAGCUCGGCUGGCUGGAGUCCCCGGGCACUUGUCUGCCUUUAACAACCUCUCAGCCUGCUCGGCGCAGGACAACACGGUAUUCCAAACACCCCUGCCCAGGGAAGUCCUGGCUACACUCACCCGCCAGGGCUGGCACCCAGGAUGAAGCCGCACCCUUGGGGAAUCUGUCAAAGACCAGCCCAGCCCUCCUGUCAACAACAGCUGGAGCGGGAGGGCGAAUGGCUGGGUCAUUGAAUGUUAAAUAGCGUAGAGCCAAGAAUGGAUCCUUCCUGGACCCGAUGAGAAACCCACCUGCUCACUCGUGAUUCCCCAUUUACAAUUCCGUUUUGUGACCGUUCAGGUAGUUCCCUUUCAAUCCAUGUAAUGUUAAUUUUCUAUCAUUCUGGUUUUUUAAAUAAAAAUGUUAUGCAGUA